GCUGGUGUGAGAGAGCUCUUUUGCCCCAGUGGCCUAACAUUUUGCACCCGUGGAGAGAAAGGUUGGUUUUUCUAAAGAGAGAGAAGAGAGAUACCCUCAACCUUUGAAAGGGAUCACAAUCCCAUUUCAUCUGCUCACUGUUGUUAAAACCGGUCCUAUGAAUUUGGGACAUCUCCCGGUUUACGCCAGAGCACGAACACCUGAUAAAAGAUUUUCCACAGAGAAUUAAUUGAAGCCAUUUCCGAAUCGCCACUACCAUUGGAGUUCAUCCCUUCCCAGUAAAUAAAACUUAUUAAGGUUCUGGUUCCGGUUUCCCUAAUGAGGUGAACGAUUUUUAGAACAAUAGAUAUGCAGUGUUGAAACUCCUGGUAUCACACUGGCUCCAGAACGAUGGCCACUCAUCAGUAAUCCAAUCUGUGUUUAUAAGUUUCUAACCGAACGACUACGAUCUAUCUACGUAGUGCAUGGAGAAUAAUGGGCU
rnacentral:sRNA from 1 species